UCUGGUUCUUGGAUCUCCCAUGGUUGAUGAUCCUGAGUUUUAUUGGGCAGUGUAUCCAGGUACCUCGCCCUCCAGUUGAGAGAUACUGGGGAGAAAUACCCACCCAGUGGAGAUGUCCUGGGUGGGGCUGGUUGAAAGAUACCAGGGUCUGGACUGAGUGGUUAGGUAAGAGGCUGAGCUGACACUUUUUCUCAGUUUGGCUACCUGAAUAGAAUUUGCCAGGGAUAAAAGUGAAAUUUUAUCCCUAACAAAUUCAACUGAAAAAUGAGAAAUAGAGUUUUUCAAACAGAAAUGAGGGGUGUCAGAAAACCAACCUCCAACUAACACCCCAGCCAGAUUGAUAUACAGAGCUCAUACUCGCAAGUACCUCCUUAAUUGGGGAAAUUCUACUAAAGGAGAUCUCAAUCUAAAAUGGCCAAAUUGGGGUUCUUUUGACACUCCAAAAUUGAUGUUUUUGUGUACAUAGUUAGAAAAGGCGGGCCAUAAAAUCAAAUAGACUGAAUGGAAUGCUUAUUUGGUAUUUAGAAGCUUCUAAAAGAGAAAAUGAUAAAGUAACUUCUUUGCAGGAAACCAAGAAAUUGCUUGAAACUGUACCAGAACUAAAAAAAAGGCCUCUAGCCCUGACACACUCUCCCUCUGCUCCCCCUGCGUGUCCUCUCCUAUCUGAAUUGCCUGGUCCAGACACUGUCUCUUUUUCUCUUGCGUCUCUUCCACCUCCUGCUGUUCCCUCUCCCCUGGUGAAGGAGGAUAAAAAAUCAGAAGUGAUGAUAGCUCCCUUUAAGGAGAAACUUACUACAGGGGGAGGUGAACCGUCCUCAGUGCUUAUGUACACACCCUGGGCCCAAGCUGAAAUUAGAGCCUUGGCUAAGGAAUUUCCCAGUCCAAGUCAGGAUCUAUUGGGAUUUGCUAAGGAGUUUGAGUUAACCCAUCGGGAACCUACAAGCCUGGGUUUUCAGAUCUAUAUUGAUUUCUGAAAGCAGAGCAAGGGAAUGGACAGAGAAAGCAGAUUGGAAACUACCUCUAACGGACUUUGAAUUCCAUAGUCCACAGGCUCACACUUAAAUGCAAGAAAUUAGCUCAAAAAUUACUUAAACAUACCCCAGAGCUUUUUCCAGAAACCGUAGAUUGGACAAAGAUUCAGCAGUGCAAGCAAAGACCUGAUGAACCAAUUCCAGACUAUUACGAAAGGUUUGAAAAUACCGUUAAGCGAUAUUCUGGCUUGACACCUGAAUAUUCUCUAAUCACCAAAAUGAUCCUUUAAUUAACUGCCUUUUUAGAACGCUUAGAUGAGGAAUUGACUACUCUAGUCAAAAGACAAUCUAGGUUGGUCCGCAUUACCUACAAACGCCCUUGUUACACCGGCUGACCAACUUUUCAGGACCAUUAAAAAGAAAGAAAGGGAAUAUCCACAAAAAUCAUGAACAUCAAGUAUUCAAUGCCAGUUGAAGUUUAACCGACCCCUGUGCAAUCCACAACUGAUAGAGAAAACCGAAGUUUACUUUUACUGCAGAAAACCAGGGCAUCAGAAGAUGAAUUGUAAGUUAAGAAGGCAGAAGCCUAGAAGGAAAACUGGAUUUUAGACCAGAAUUACGAGUUAAACAAGAAUAGGGCUGGGGAGUCUUUCCCCUUCUCUCUGACACCCUAGGAGAAGUAGAAAUGGUUCUACAAGGAAAAAUAAUUAAAGCCCUGAUAGCUACAGGGGCCACCUUUUCAGUUUUGAACCCUACCAAAAUUAAAGGACCUCUGCCUCAGAGUAUUCCUCAGUACAGAGGGUAAGGGUUUCUAAUGCAGCUACUAAGGCUUUUAAAUCAUUACCUGUAGAAUUCUACUUAGGGGAACAUAAAGGAAGGUACCCCUUUUUUGUAUAGAAAAGGGCUCCCGUUAACCUGAUAGGCAGAGAUCUAUUGGAAACUUAUGAAGCCCAUAUUUCCUUCACUCUUAAGGGAGAAAUGUUUCUAGAUCUGAAGGACCAAUGAGAUUUCCUUCACCAUAUAAAGUUCGUGACUCCUAAUGAGGAUGAUGCUGAACAAGACAAGUUGCUAGGCUUAGUACUUAAACAAUUAUGAGGACUUGAUUCUGCUGACAUUGGAAGAAUACAUUCUGCAUCACUCAUUAAAAUAUUUGUGAUUCUGUAGUACCAGACCCCCAUACCUUAUUGUCCAUAUUCCUAAAAACAGUAACUUCUUUACGCCUUUACUUGGACUGAGAGGCGAUGUACGUGGACUGUUGUGCCACAGGGCAAUACUGAAAGCCGCACUUCUCUCAGAUACUAAAAGCAGACCUAGACAAUGUUUUCAGAAUUCUGACACUUGAGGGACCAGGUCCUUCUAGGAGAACUUGCUUUUUUUACCCUGUGGCUUAGGACCAAGGCUCUCAGGAAUAUUUAUUUUAUCCAGACCAUCUCUAAUUCCUGAGACUGCAGAAAGAAAAAAAGGCGGCUUUUUAAAUUUAGCCUAUUCCAGCUGUGAAGACUAGUGAGUUUUAUGUUGCAGUGCCUGACCUCUUGACCAAGUUUAUAAAGUGGAGCUAUGGGAUCUCUGGUUGUAUCUGUCUGGAUGUCCAUAUGUCUAUGUGUUUGUUUACCUUUGAAUGGUAUUAUGAAAAUUAAUUUGUAAAUGAGCUCUACUUGGUUGCCCUAGAGAAAAUUAAGUGUUUAUAUAAAUUCUUUUAUAGAAAUAUAAAAGGAAACUGGCCAGAAUGAACUUCAGGUUCAUGUGAACUGGGAAACUAUGCAAUAUUAAAUCAAUACCCGUAUUAAAGUUUGCUGACUUAAUUAAUAUAGAUAUGUCUUUCUAGUCAUCAACAUUAAGUAUAACACCUUUGUUGUACCUAGGUUUAGUAGAAGUCAAAUAAGAUCUUACUAUAUGUUGCAAAUUUGUCAGCAAGAAAAAUAACAAUAUUGUGAAAUUUUUAAAAGUAAGUUGAAUGCAAAUGAGAUAAGAGCCUUUGGAUGAAUUCUUUAGGAGUAAUAUAUUUUAGAGAUGUCUACUUCAAUAUAAUUUCUCUAGAUAUUUACUAACUUGAAAUUUUAGAGUUGUGCUAAAUUAAGUUAAAUGACGGAAGUUUAUUGAAUAGUUAGGUUAUUCCCAAACAUAGUAUUGGCUUCCGUUUGCAGAGAAACUAAAGGUAUCUAGGAAUAUUAAUAUGUUUAGUGCCAAAAUGAGAUAUUUUCUAUAAGAAAACUUGUUUAGAAAUUUCUUGAUAUUUGUUUGCCAGCCAACAGAAUACUAAUGUAAAAAACAGUUCAUAAUUGCUUACUUAGUUUUCGUUAAAAAUCUCAAUUUCUAAGAGUUGAGGAUUCUAUUUAAAAAAUUUAAAGCUACUAGGAAAAAUAAACAUUUCAGUAUACAGUAGGAAAGUAGGAUAUGUGAUUCAGUAAAGAAGUUACGAGGAAUGGAACUGCAUUUUGUUAAGGGAAAGUAAAAGUAGGUUUAUCCUUUAGCUGGUUGUUUCCAGAUGGAGAAAAAUAAGGAACAAACUAAUAUGGAUACAGAAAGUAAUGAAAGGUUUGUGGAAAAGGAACCCUAAGAAGAGAGCUUUGUGCAUCAUCAGGAUUGGUUACAUUUAGAUUUAAUUUAAAUAAGUAAAUGGAUUUGGUUGUUAAAAGUAAGCUGGUGCAAACCUUGAAUUUAGUUUUUCUCUGUUAUCAAAAAUGGAUCAACAUUUUAUGAAAAAUUUGUCCUCUUAUCACAGAAUAUAAAGUUUCUUUUACCUUUAAUCAUAAACCUGUUACAGCUUUCCAUAUUUGCCUUUGAAAUGUUUAUCACUUUGGCUAAGGGAAUAAGUAUUGUUUCACAAUGAUCUAUGAGCCCAUCUGACCAAGUGUUUUAAAGCCUUUUUGAUAUUUUUUUUUUUAAACAAAUUUCCCAUAUCAAAUUUUAAUAAAGCUUCUUUGACCUCUGGCUAACUUUCAGGGUGCUUCCCCUGCAACAUCCCCAAAAGAGAUAUUAAACUAAUUUGGUUCAUUUGGUAUGUUAAAUUGCAUGGGAGGUAUUGUCAAAUAAGUAAUCUUCUUAAGUUAUAUUAGGAAAAAUGUUACUAAUAUAUAUAUUCUAAAAAUUAUGGAAUUCUUUGAAAAGACGUCUGAUAUAUGCUGGCAAAAUGCUAUCAAUCAUAGUUCUAGCUUUUAUCUUAAAAUAUUGUAUGUCACAGCAGUACCCAAGUUUGUCAGUUGCAUUUUAAUAAGGUUUUUUAACUGUGCCUUAAGUUUUUUAUCAUUCAUAGAUAUGGUUUACUCUGAUGCCUUUGCAAAAUGCCUCCUCUUCAAGAAUGUUUAUAGAAAAGACUUCUUUAAUAAGCACAAAUCUGUGUUAACUUUCAGACCAUAAUGUUGAACUGAGUAAGAAAUUAAAGAAUUCUAAUAGAAACCUGAUGGGUUCAUAAAACUGUUAACAAAAAGGAUUAGUUACAUAGGACUGAGUGAACUGGUAAAUAAUGGUUGUAAUUUUUAUGAUUCCUGUCUGAAACACUACUGGCUUUUUUUUUUUUUUUUUAACUGGUUUUAAUCUCUGUUUUCCAGAUACUUAAAAAAAAAAACAAAAAAACAAAAAACCUUCUCCUUAAGCUAAUUAUGAUCCACAGCAAUUUGGUAAAUUAUACCUAUGUAAGCCAACUUGGAAUAGUUAUCUUUUCUCUCUUAGGUUCCUAGUGGCUUUAUCAGAUAAGUUAGGAAGACCACCUCCUAACAGGUAUAGGAAUCUCAAGGUAUUUUGGGGACCUCGAAAAGAGAAGAAUGUACCUAAGUCUGUAAGGCAAAAUCUGUGACAAGCCCUUGACAUGGCUUUCCUGGCCCUAGGAGACCAUAUUAAAAUUUCAGCCUGAGACACCUUAUGAAAAGUUGUGGCACAGCCAGUUUAAAAAAGCCUAGACGAUCACAUAAUCAGACUUAAUUUGCAGACAGAUUAAUCUUGAUUUGGCUACAUUUGAUAAAAAUGAGGGUAACUUUAGAGAGGAAAAAUUGUAUUUCAGUGAAUAUUAAAUUCUAGUUUUGUUAAUGGAGGUCUGCAUUUAUGGCCUAAGACUCAUUUGCUGUUUUGUUAUAGAAUUAUUAAAAGGACACUCUAAGUUUGUUUCUGAAGCUCAUCUCAUAAAUCUCUUUGGAUGAAGAUCCGAUGCCCCAGGACCUGCAACCAGAAGAUUAUGCAUACUGGAAGAGACACAAUUUAAGGACUGUCUCCAGCCUAGAUGGAAGGAGCUUUGUCAGAUGCGUCAGAGUCAAAGGUCCAGGCUGGGGCUGGAAAGCAGAAGGAAGAAGUCCCCAGAGCAAAGAGAUUCCAGCGGCUGCUGGGGCUUGAUCUGUCCUGUUCCCGUUUCCCCACUCCGGCGCGGCAGACCCUGGGGGCUCAGGCAGAAAUGCCCUUCUUAGAAAAGAAGAGGGGCCCAAGGUUUGUUACUGAAAAAUCAGUCUGUACCCGGAAAAGCGAAUUCAAACUUAAGAGGCAGAGUUUUGGGAGCAAAGAAAAUAGCAGCUUUCUUGCUUUGCCCGGCGAAGGGAGUCACAGCAGGCUGCUGCCUUAAAGACUGUGAGCCCAAGCUGGGGUUGGGGUCCUGAGAGUUUAUAGACAAACUGUAUGGAACAGAAAAGGCGGUAACAAUCAGGGCGUUUUAUAGGGUGCUGUAUUCCUCUUAACCUCAGUGAAUCUUCAAGAGGAACUCUCUCCUUCCUGGAGCAUAGCCUCUGGGUUAAAGUUACUCUCAGUAAGGAGUGAAUCAGCAAGCUAUUCCUCAUCAGGGAAGUUAGACUGCUUUAUGCUCCUGUGCCACUGGUUCACAGGCAAACAGAGGCCCUGCGGGGGCCCUGAAAUAGGGCAGCCCCUGAGCUCGCUCCAGUCCCCACUGAGUCCUGGGCUCUCACUUGCCCUAAAGAAGACCGAGGAGUGGCAGCCAGUUAGGGAGAGGAAGCCCGACUUGAGACUAGGAGUCGCGAGCUGGGCCAGGUGUUGUGCCACAGACUUUGGCCUUGUGAGGAAUGGAAGACAGGCAGGAAGUGGGUGUGCAGAGGGCAACAAGGUGGCCCCUGGCCAGCAUUCCAGCCUCAGGAUGCUGAGUGCCAAAACUUGCUACCACAUCAGAUGCAGAAGGUGGGGACCAGAAGGUGACUCUGGCUUUUGACCUCAACAGUUAAUUGCUACAACUGAGAUAAGGAAAAGAUAAGAGUUCUGUUCUAGCCAGUGGAGUAACUAAAGCUAAAAAAUUCGGAUGAAGGCACAGAAGUGGUAUUUAAAGGCUUGAGCAACAUACAAGAUGUUCUUAGCAGUGAGGGGAACUGUGUGUUAAGGCACCUGCCAGCACGUAGCCCUCUCACAGCCCCAUGUGACCUUGCCUUAGAGCCCUUCUGAGCCUUGGUUUCUUAAUCUGGAAUGGGAAUAAAGAUGCCUUAUUUAAAGUAUUAAAUGAAUUUUAGGCACUGUU